rnacentral:rRNA from 1 species
AUGAGGACUAGCCAUAUGUUGCUCUUGGCGAUCGCCUUCCUUGCCCUAGCAUCAGAUGUGAUAACGAGGGCGUCAGCGGGCGUUGGAGGAAUCCCUUGUACGACAAGCAUUAUCCCGUCGCCAAAGCCAUGUGAUAACAAUAGCUGCAAUCAGGCAUGCAUCGACCGUGUGUGGGUCGGCGGAUAUGGCGAGUGUGUUGCGGGGGCGUGCAAGUGCCAGCAGUGCACAUACAUUCCUCCCAAAAAUGGAAACUAA